rnacentral:lncRNA from 1 species
UAGUUAAGAUGACUUUGUUUUAAUGCUUUAGGUGUUUGGUGUUUUCGUUUAGUUUAACUAUGAACUAUGAAGUGUGAACUUUAGUUGAUUGUUUGAUCUUCUUGAUACUUCUUGAUACUUGAAUCUUGAUUAUGCUUUGAGAAUGUUUUUGCAGGAAUAAUUCAAGACUUCAAGACUCCAUGUCUAAGUCAUAGAGUUUGUAUUAAGGUUGUAAAAGUGUAAAUUUUGUUUAUUGGAUUGAUCAUGCAGGAGAUUAUCGUUUGGUGAUUGCGAUGAUCUUCUUUUUAUGACUUAUUGGUUGUAUACGAGCUUUGUAGUAUAUUUUGUCACGAAAUCGCCAAAGGGGGAGAUUGUUAAGGAUUUUAUAGGUUGGCGAAUUUCGUAAAGUUGUUUGGAGUCUUGAAGAGUUGAUCGCAGAAGAUUUUGAGAAAAGAUUCAAAUUGGAGGACAAAGACUCAUUCGGAAAGAUCGACACCUAAGGUAUGUAGAAAAGAUCAUUUGUGGUGAAGAUACAUGAUUAAAAUAAGUUCAGAAGGCUUAGAUUGUUUUUAAACAAAUUUUCUGAACUUUCUUGUGUUCUGGGACCGGUCUCUGAAAUGGAGAGACCGGUUCCCCCAAGGUCCUCACUGCGUAAACCUUGAUGCAACCGGUCCCCUGUGAUGAGAGACCGGUUCCCGAACCUUGGUGGUUCUGUCGCGCAGCGAGGGACCGGUCUCAAGUUUGAGAGACCGGUUCCCGAACGUUGGGUUUUUGGUCACGCAGAGAGGGACCGGUUCCUCACUUG